rnacentral:rRNA from 2 species
UCAUGCAAGUCGAACGCGUUGGCCCAAUUGAUUGAUGGUGCUUGCACCUGAUUGAUUUUGGUCGCCAACGAGUGGCGGACGGGUGAGUAACACGUAGGUAACCUGCCCAGAAGCGGGGGACAACAUUUGGAAACAGAUGCUAAUACCGAAUAACAACGUUGUUCGCAUGAACGACGCUUAAAAGAUGGCUUCUCGCUAUCACUUCUGGAUGGACCUGCGGUGCAUUAGCUUGUGGCUGGGGUAACGGCCUACCAAGGCCAUGAUGCAUAACCGAGUUGACAGACUGAUCGUGCACAAUGGGACUGAGACACGGCCCAUACUCCUACGGGAGGUCAGCCUAGGGAAUCUUCCACAAUGGGCGCAAGCCUGAUGGAGCAACACCGCGUGAGUGAAGAAGGGUUUCGGCUCUAAAGCUCUGUUGUUAAAGAAGAACACGUAUGAGAGUAACUGUUCAUACGUUGACGGUAUUUAACCUGAAAGUCACGCCUAACUACGUGCCAUAAGCCGCGGGAAUACGUAGGUGGCAAGUGUUGUCCGGAUUUAUUGGGCGUAAAGAGAGAGCAGGCGGAUUUCUAAGUCUGAUGUGAAACCCUUCGACUGAACCGGAGAAUGGCAUCGUAGACUGGAUAACAUGAGAGCAGAACACCAUAGUGAAACUCCAUGUGUAUCGAUGUAAUGCAUAGAUAUAUGGAAGAACGCCAGUGUCUGAGGUGGCUACCUGGUCUGCAACUGACGCUGAGACUCGAAAGCAUGAGUAGAUAACAUGAUUAGAUACGCCUGGUAGUCCAUGCCGCUAAACGAUGAGUGCUAUGCGUUGCAGCAGUUUCCGCACCUUCAGUGCCUGAAGCUCAU